UUCCCUGUAGCUCAGUCGUCAGAGCGUUAGGCUUUUAUCCAAAUUGUCCAGGGUUUGACCCCCUGCGUGGGCG
rnacentral:tRNA from 1 species